UUAGUUGAAACCAAAAUAGCGGUUUAUUACUGUUAAUAAUAAAAUUGAGUUCUUUAUCUCCAACUAAG
rnacentral:tRNA from 1 species